rnacentral:rRNA from 1 species
GACGAACCGUGCGAACGUUGUUCGGAAUCACUGGGCUUAAAGGGCGCGUAGGCGGGUGCCACAGUCCGCGGUGAAAGCCCCCGGCUUAACCGGGGAACGGCCGCGGAUACUGGGCACCUCGAGCGAGGUAGGGGCGUGCGGAACACUAGGUGGAGCGGUGAAAUGCGUUGAUAUCUAGUGGAACUCCGGUGGCGAAAGCGGCGCGCUGGACCUCUUCUGACGCUGAGGCGCGAAAGCCAGGGGAGCGAACGGG